GGGCAGACGGGUACGAGUAACUGCGGCCAAGUUAUGUGGCUUCAUUGUGGACAGAAUGAACGCUUUUAAGCAGACAAUUGCAGCCUGGGGCGCAGCCACAACAGAGAGUGCCACGCACCUCCCACUACCCCUGGCUAUUGUUUGCUCUCGUUCCUCCGACACAGCCGAAGGACUGGAGCUUGCCACAGAUUUUCGUAGGCCGCACUGCGGGCAUAAAUCAUUUGGGCCUGCUGCUGCUGCUCCCCAGCGCCUCCUCCACUGGCAACUUGCAACUUACAACGUGCAACUUGCUGCAAUAUGAGUUAAUUUCUAGAGCCUGGAUCAGAGAUCUCUGGGCCAGGAAUGGACUCCACUGCACUGCCCUCCCCUCCCCGCCCCACAGACUGAACUGAACAUUGGACACUGGUGUUAAGUCCCGUGCCCCAUGGAGUUUGGUGGAACCUGGCAGCCCCCUGCAGUCGCCAAAUGUA